rnacentral:rRNA from 1 species
UACGUAGGAUGCAAGCGUUGUCCGGAAUUAUUGGGCGUAAAGAGCGCGCAGGCGGUAUGACAAGUCAGAUGUGAAAGAGGCCGGCUUAACCGGCAAGGGUCAUUUGAAACUGUCAGACUAGAGUGCAGCAGAGGAUAGUGGAAUUCCCGGUGUAGUGGUGAAAUGCGUAGAUAUCAGGAGGAACACCGGUGGCGAAGGCGGGUCUCUGGGCAGUAACUGACGCUGAGGAGCGAAAGCGUGGGGGAGCGAACAGG